AAUGCACUGUUGAUUCUAAGUAUG
rnacentral:siRNA from 1 species